GACGAACGCUGGCGGCGUGCUUAACACAUGCAAGUGGUGCGACGAACCAGGGCUUGCCCUGGGGCAAAGCCGCGAACGGGUGAGUAACACGUGAGUAACCUGCCCCGAUGACCGGGACAACCCGAGGAAACUCGGGCUAAUACCGGAUGUGGUGCACAGUCGUAAGUCUGUGUACUAAAGGAAGCUUCGGCCUCCGCAUUGGGAGGGGCUCGCGGCCCAUUAGCUUGUUGGUGGGGUAACGGCCUACCAAGGCAACGAUGGGUAGCUGGUCUGAGAGGACGAUCAGCCACACUGGGACUGAGACACGGCCCAGACUCCUACGGGAGGCAGCAGUGGGGAAUCUUGCGCAAUGCGCGAAAGCGUGACGCAGCAACGCCGCGUGGGGGAAGACGGCCUUCGGGUUGUAAACCCCUUUCAGUUGGGACGAAGCUUCGAGGGUUAAUAGCCCUCUGGAGUGACGGUACCUUCAGAAGAAGCCCCGGCUAACUACGUGCCAGCCGCCGCCGUAAUAC
rnacentral:rRNA from 1 species